GUUGAGGUCUAUCCCAAUGGGACUUUUUCUGCAGACCUAUAUUGUUGGAAAUGCCUCACAGAGUAACUGUGUGGUUUCCUUUACUGAGAGAACUAUGUGUUAGAUCUGUGGGAAAGAACUUCAAGACAGAG
ensembl:snoRNA